AGUGAACGCUGGCGGUAGGCCUAACACAUGCAAGCCGAACGGCAGCACAGGAGAGCUUGUUCUCUGGGUGGCGAGUGGCGGACGGGUGAGGAAUACGUCGGAAUCUACUCUGUCGUGGGGGAUAACGUAGGGAAACUUACGCUAAUACCGCAUACGACCUACGGGUGAAAGCAGGGGACCUUCGGUCCUUGCGCGAUUGAAUGAGCCGAUGUCGGAUUAGCUAGUUGGCGGGGUAAAGGCCCACCAAGGGCAAGCUCCGUAGCUGGUCUGAGAGGAUGAUCAGCCACACUGGAACUGAGACACGGUCCAGACUCCUACGGGAGGCAGCAGUGGGGAAUAUUGGACAAUGGGCGCAAGCCUGAUCCAGCCAUACCGCGUGGGUGAAGAAGGCCUUCGGGUUGUAAAGCCCUUUUGUUGGGAAAGAAAUCCAGCUGGCUAAUACCCGGUUGGGAUGACGGUACCCAAAGAAUAAGCACCGGCUAACUUCGUGCCAGCCGCCGCCGUAA
rnacentral:rRNA from 1 species